CCCUCCCCCUCCUAGGAGAGAUUCACAGACGCAGCUUUCCGCAGUAGAAAGAGCCAUCCAGCAGGCGUGUCUGGAGGGCGAUUUGGAAGCUUUUGCUUUUCCUGUUAGACUUCAUGAGCGUGUUGCUCCUGGUACAGAUCCUCGAAACCCAAACGGGGUUUAUGAACCUCAGGUGAGGACCUGAUGGUGCUUGUGUCUGAUACGAAAAACACUGUGGUGAAAACAAGCCUCCAGGAGCACUGAGUACGCACCUCCAACAUCAUGGGCAGCCGAUGAACAACUGUCGAGUGAAUGAAUGAGGGCAGGAAGGAAAACACUGCACUGGAAGUCUUACCUUCCAGGGAAUGAAAGGAUGAGCACCUCUCUUCUCAGGUUUACGCUGCCCGAGACAAGACAAGACCUUCAGUUGUCAAAGAAAGAAAAAGAGAUGCAACAUUCUUCAUUCACCAAGGAAUACAUAAACAAUUUAGAGGACUUUUCAACAACAAGGGUAGAAAUAGAAGGUAUUUCUGUUUAAUGCUUGAUUUUCUUAAUGAUAUUUCUACUUCCUGUGCAUUGAAAAUUAUGUUUUGUUUUAAAUAUUUUAAAUAACUUUCAGCCAGUUUUCAAUAUUUUUCUUUACAGUAUAUAUAAUUUCCAUACAGUUUAAACAAAUGAAGAGAAAUACAAAUAAAUUGUUAAUGGUUUACCUAUAUAUUGCUCAUAAGGGUUCUCUUUGGGUCAAUGUAAUGAUAUACUGUCUUCAAUAUUCAUGAAUAUCCUAUGUACAAGGUUCGUUUUUUGUUUUUCGUUUAUUUUUAAGAUUUUAUU